CCCGCCGCCAGACCAGGCUAGCUCCAAUUUAACCCUUUCUCCGCCACCCGGACACACCCACUGCGGGAACCGAGGACAGCCCUGGCCAGUUUUGGGGCGAUUGGGAGCUAAUGCUGCUGCUUCUUCCAGUUCCAGGCCCGAGCAGGGAGGCGGACCCAGAGUUUCGCCCGUCUCACGCUAACCGGUGGCCUUGAAGGGAUCCUUGAAAAGCCUUAAGCGGGGAGGUGCCCUAUCACAGACGGAAAUCCCCGAGAGGAGGGGAGGGAGCCCAGAGCCUGCUGAAAGGACCGGUCCCGGGGAGCUUUAAGCUGACGGUCGAAGCCCGGGGACCCCUUCCUACCCAGAUCCCUUCGCACGAAUUUCACCCUUGAUCACAGCCUGGAGCACUUGGGAGGACCCCAUCUAUAUUUCUCUGAUCUCUACCUGAGACGAAUAAACACACAAGCUUGUAAACAUACAGAGUAUCUCUGCAAGGGAACACAGGAAACUGCCAUAGGGGAGGGGAACCGCCCUUGGAAGGAGACUUCCUUUCCCUUUUGUGCUGUUUGCGUUUUACUACCCUUUGUAUGCGUUAUCCAUCAAAACGACGAAAAAUAUUAAAAGAAAAAAAGAUACACUUCAUACAGACAACCUGGCCUAUGGCUAUUUUGUGCCACUGAGUGAUGGUGUUGAGUGCUCGUAUUUGCGGGGGCCUGGGUGGCUCUUAAAGGCGAUGGUUGUCCAAGUUUUUGAAAUACAGGAUUGGCCUGCACCCCAAGAGCGAUGGAGCAUCCACAUAUCCUCUUGUUACUUUCCAGUUGUGUUACCGUGGGCUCACAGCUGAUCUUAUGGUGAAAAGAUGUGUUAGUGAACAUUACAUUCAUGACAUAUUUUAAAAUAGUAUAAAAACAAAAACAACAGUUACCAAAAUACAUUUGUUUUCUGUCAUCAAACUGUAGUUGGACCAUCAAACCACUGAUGGUCGUCUAGCCCCAUCCCCUGUUGGGUCUUUUUUUUUUUUUUUUGAGACAGUUUCCCUCUCGUUGUCCGGUCUAGAGUGCAAUGGUGCGAUCUCGGCUCACUGCAACCUCCACCUCCCAGAUUCAAGCGAUUCUCCUGCCUCAGCCUCCCGAGUAGCUGGGAUUACAGUCAUACACCACCACCACACCCGACUAAUUUUGUGUUCUUAGUAGAGACGAGGUUUCUCCAUGUUGGUGAGGCUUGUCUCGAACUCCUGACCUCAGGUGAUCCACUCGCCUCGGCCUCCCAAAGUGCUGGGAUUACAGGCAUGAACCACCACGCCCGGCCUCCUAUUGGGUCUUUAGUAGGAUGGAUUUGGUUCCUCUUGGUGCCCCAGAGAGCGAGGUUAUGAAUUGUCAGGGCUGGCUGGUUUAGCUUAGAGGAAGCUACCAGUGCCUGCAUUUAAGUCUUGGAGCUCUCCUUAGCCUGAAUCUCAGGCCUGGUAAGAGGAACAGGAACUGAGUCUGCUGAUUUGUGAAUUGAGAAUCUGCAUUUGUGCAGCCCUCAAAACAGCCGCGGCCAGGGUUCUUGAGAACUGGCACGGGGACUUCUAAGAAAAGCCUCCUGGAAACACCUGUUGUUCUUGCUAUUUGGGGAUUUAACUGACCUUUCCUUAGAACUAAAAUGUGAAGUUAAUGCUUUAAAAGAGUCAAAACAGCUGGCUGUGGUGGCUCAUGCCUGUCAUCCCAACACUUUGGGAAGCCUAGGUGGAAGGAUCCCUUGAGCCCAAGACUUCAGGACCAGCCUGGGCAACAUAGUGAGACCCUAUCUCUAUACUUUUUUUUUUAAUUGGCCUGGUGUGUUGGUACACACCUGUAGUCACAGCUACUCAGGAGGCUGAGGUGGGAGGAUCUCUUGAGCUCAGGAGGUUGAGGCUUCAGUGAGCUUUGGUUGCGCCACUGCACUUCAGCCUGGGUGACAGAGUGAGACCCUGUCUCGAACAAGUUAGAGCCAAAAGAGGCAUUGCUGUAGGUUCGUGGAUUCCUGGGUUUCUUCCUAAGCACCCAUUCACUUUUCUCAUAUGUACUGUUGUUCUCCUUUUCUCUUCUGGUGGUUGCUCCGUGCUGUCUUUUUCUUUCAAGAUAGUCUCACUGGUCUCAAAUGGUUGCCCUGACCACUGCAGUCAAGCAGUGUCAGAAACAGAAUCAGGCCCCUGCAGCUGCUGCUUCUAUGGAAAGGAAACUGGAAGUCCUACGUGGAGGAGGACACUGUGGUCUAGAGAGGGGGUCACCAAGUGACAACCCACUGUGUUUUUGUAUGGUUCACACCUAAGAAUAGUUUUUACAUUUUUUAUAUGGUUUGGAAAUUUUUUAAAGGAGAAUAUUUCAUACUGGAAACAUUAUAUGAAUUUCAGAUUUCAGUGUCUACACUUUGAUUGAAAUACAGCUGUGCUCAGUAGAAAAUGCUCAGUUAAGAUACCUAAAGCAUCACCACGUGCAUGUUCUAUACUGCUUUUACCCUACAGCAGCAGAGCUGCCUUGUUGUGACAGGCUGUGUGGCCUGCAGAGCCAAAGAUACUUACUGUCUGACUCUUCACAGAAAAUGUUUGCCAACUGUUGGGCUAGAAUAAGCAGGCCUUUCCAUUCCCAGCAUUGGGGUCACACAGCAGGAGCCUCUGGCGGAGGUUCAGUGGUGUUUGUCCCCUUAG